rnacentral:rRNA from 1 species
UACAGAGGCGGCAAGCGUUGUUCGGAAUUAUUGGGCGUAAAGAGCACGUAGGCGGCUAUGUAAGUCGGUUGUGAAAGCCUUCCGCUCAACGGGAGAACAGCAUCCGAUACUACAUGGCUUGAGUGCGGGAGGGGAGAGUGGAACUUCUGGUGGAGCGGUGAAAUGCGUAGAUAUCAGAAGGAACGCCGGCGGCGAAAGCGGCUCUCUGGCCCAUAACUGACGCUGAGUGUGCGAAAGCUAGGGGAGCAAACGGG